UGAAUGUGACGGUGACGUUGAAUCAAACCCAUGCUGGACCCAGAAGCGAAAGGCUAGUUCGUGGGUGGACGUAUGUAUGAUCCCGUGCUGCUGCGUGGUUGAAUCAGUGAGCGAAUCGUCAUGAUGCUGGAGAAGAGCAGGAUUACAGUGGUGGCGGAUAUCUUCUUUAGCAGGAGAGUCUCACCCUCGCAGGGGGAGGAAAAAAUUCACUGUCGCUGCUCCAGAGCCUUCGUGCAGGAUAGAGAUCUGUAUCGCUCUGAUAAUAGAUUGUUCUCCUAUGACCUAGCAAACACAGCCAUCCAAGAAACAGAUGAUGAAGAGGAGGAGGAAGAUGAGGUGUUGGAUGAAGAGGCUCAGCUGAUGGCUAGCAUGGGUCUGCCUGUAGCCUUUGCCAGUUCCUCUGACCAAAGGAGAGUGGGGAAGAUAUCUAAUGGGAAGGCUGAUGCAUACUGGGAAGAACCAGUGGAACAGGAGGAAGAUGGAAGAGAUCUACAAGUUGACAACAAACCUGAACAGAAGGAAGUGUGUGAUCCACAGCAGGAAGAAACAGGAGGGAUCCAAGAUGCCGGCUGGGAAAUCUACUGGGCUCAACAAGGUGAAGCUUUGCUAUGGAGCAGCUGGCUGGAGAAACAUCCAGAGACUGAUCUGCUACCUGCCAAAGAAGGAACAGCAACUGCCUACUGGGAUGACCCAGACACAAAGGCUGCCUGGGACGAACAUGCUUCUGAAACCUACUACUCCUACUGGGAGCAAUACUCAUACUGGGCAGCACAGGGCUGGACUACUGACCAGUCCAUCUGGAAUGGGGACACUGGUGGAGAAGCAGCAGAGGUGAUGGACAGAGGCAUAGAGACACACCCAAAGGAAUGGAGGGCUGUAGAGACUGGAGAUGAGAGCCAACAGACGGAAGAAGUCAAGACUCUUUAUGAUGGCAUUAAGAUUUUGAAUCAUCAUUUUGCUCAGAACUGCACAUUAGAAGCAGGUGGGGGCUCUUUGACUGACAGACAACAUAUGAGUGUGGCUGAUGUCAGAGAGCUCUGUGGUUCUGAUGAUCCCUCGGAUGGUGGGAAUGAUCGGAAGAGACCUGCUGCCUCCUCACGGCAGAACACAGCUGAGCAUACAGAUUCUCAGCAUGCCGCCACCUGCCGUGACAGUCAGUAUGGCUCAAGCAAUAAAAUGCCAAAUAGAGAAGACGAUGACCAGGAUGAUGAACCCCCAAGAGGACAUGCUAAAGUGAAACGCAGUCAUGAGCUGGAUGUGGAGGAGAGCCCAAAUCUGACACCCAAAGAAGCUUGGAGUAAACUUGGACUCAAACGCAACCCAGAGCCGCUGUUCGACAGUGUGUUGAGCUUUAAAGGCAGUGCUGAUCAAAAGUGUCAGAGGAAAAAAACAUUCUGCAGCAUAGGCAAACAUACCAGGUUCUCAGAGACGGGUGGAGACAACACACAGCCACUGAUCAGCACCUCCCUCUACAAGGUCCAAAAGUUUCUUGAAAAGAACCAGCCGGAGACACAGAUGACUCAAUGUGACCAGGGUGAGAUGGGAGGGGGAAGCAAACAGGAACCGAAGGACAGGCCUCCAUUUUUGGGAAAAAUGACAGGAGAAGAGGAAAAGAGGAGGAGGAAGGAGAUGAAGUGUGCUGAGGAAGGAAAUAAAGAGACUGUGGGAGAAGACAGUUCCAAUUCUCUGUGCAGUUUUGAUGCAGAGAGGAGAAAGUGCAUUCAACCUAGCACCUCCUUCAGCUCUGUUACUGGAAAUGUGGAUAGUAAGAGGGAGGAGGAGGAGGAGCAGCCCAGUAGAGUAGAGUUAACACACCUAGAUAUUCCUAAAUUUCUCCUGUCUGAUGCACCUGAAGGCAGCAAUGAGGUAAGUGUGAAAGACAGAAAGAAGCUUAAGAAGAAGAAGAGGAAACAAGGGAGGAAGCAGCAGGUCCCAGCAGAGAUGGCAGCUGAACCUGAACUGGCUAAAUACUGGGCUCAACGCUACAGACUCUUCUCUCGCUUCGAUCAAGGGAUCAGACUGGACCGAGAGGGCUGGUUUUCUGUGACACCAGAGAGGAUCGCUGAGCACAUUGCCCUCAGGGUUGAGCACAGCUUUUCUGACUCUCAGCUGGUCAUUGACGCCUUCUGUGGUGUGGGAGGAAACGCCAUUCAGUUCGCCCUCACUGGAAAGAGAGUCCUGGCCAUUGAUAUCGACCCAGUGCGGCUAGACUUGGCAUGGCAUAAUGCUAAGGUUUAUGGUGUCGCUGAUCUAAUUGACUUCCUGCAAGGGGACUUCCUUCAGCUGGCACCGCAUCUUCGUGGCGACGUGGUUUUCCUGUCACCACCUUGGGGCGGGCCUGACUACCUGACUGCCGAAGUCUUUGACAUUAAGACCAUGAUGGAGCCUGAUGGAUUUGAGAUUUUCCAACUGGCCAAACUGAUAUCAGACAACAUAGUGUACUUUCUGCCUCGCAAUGCUGACAUGGAUCAGAUCCAUUCCGAGCCACGGCUCCUACACUCUGGAACAGCUGUUAGCGCUGUGCAACAUGAGCAUACUCCCAGUGGAAAGAUUGAAGAUUCCCACGGAGAUAAGGUGACAGAGAAGGGGAUGCAGAGCUGAAAGAGGAAGGUAGGAGGCAUAGCGAUGCUUGUGAGCAACAGAUGGUGUAACCGGGACACAUCAGUGUUAGAGCAGCACUGCACAAGAAACACUGAGCCACUAGACCUUAGUAUACAGCCAUAUUACCUCCCGAGGUAGUUUUCGCAUGUCAGUUAACCCCUCGCACCCCAGGCCCUCCUCCUCAUCUCUGGAGACUUCAAUCACGCUUCCCUGCCCUCGACUCUCCCCACCUUCACCCUGUAUGUUAAAUGCCACACCAGAGACAAUAAAAAACUAGACUUACUGUAUGCAAGCACUUAACCCUACUAGGCCGAUCUGAUCAAAACCUGGUUCAUCUGCUCCCUGCCUACAUACCCUGGUGAGUAAACAACUGACAACCGUUGUGAGAUGAUGGUCAGAGGAAUCCACCAUGGCACUGAGGGACUGCUUUGACACCUCCAACUGGGAAGUGCUACGCAGUCCCCACAGGGAAGGACAUCAAUAGUCUGACAACCUGCAUCAUGGACUACAUCAGUUUUUGUGUGGACAACACUGUGCCCACCAAGAAGGUGCAGUGUUUCCCAAACAACAAACCCUGAGUGUCCCCUGAAGUGAAAACCCUAUUGAGUGAGAAGAAAGGGGUUUUUAAGUCUGGGGACAAAACUGAGUUGAAGCGGUGCAGAGGGAGCUGAAAAGGGAGAUUAGGAGAGGCAAUGAGAGCUAAAGGAGGAAGCUGGAGAAGCACCUGCAGGGGAACAAUGCCAGAGAGGUUUAGAGGGGCCUGAAAACCAUGUCAGGCCACAGCAGUGACAGUGGCAGGGGCCCUCAAUCUCGAGAUCGGAAAUGGGCAAAGGAGCUGAACCUGUUUUUUUAACAGGUUCGAUUCUACCCCUGUUCCCUCCCCCAACCACCAGAGCCCAGACCAGAUGGCGUUACUUCUCUGCACUCCCUCUCUCCACCCCGGUGCAUCCCUGACACCAGCAGCUCCGUCCUCACACCACUUCACCCCCUGAACCUCAAUCUGGAAAGAGUUCCAGCCCUCUGGAAAACUUCCUGUGUGGUUCCAGUGCCAAAGACUGUGCAUCCCACGGAGACCACCCACUUCAGGCCUGUAGCCUUAACUUCCCACCAGAUGAAGAUGCUUAUACUUAUACUUAACCACCUCUGGCACCAGGUGAGCAGUGAGCUGGACCCCCUACAGUUUAUCGACCAGGCAUUGGUGUGGAAGAUGCAGUCAUCUACCUGCUCCAUCAGUCUCUUUUCCACCUGGAGAGCACUGGGAGCAGAGUGAGGAUCGUGGUUUUUUGACUUCUCCAGUGCUUUCAUCACGAUCCAGCCACCACUGCUGAGAGGGAAGCUGGAAGGAGCCGGAGUAGGCUGCCACCUAGCAGCAUGGACCACCGACUACCUCACCAACAGGCUGCAGUAUGUGAGGCUUCGUGACUGUGUGUUGGAUGUGGCAGUUUGCAGCACCGGGGCUCCACAGGGUGCUGUGCUCUCUCUUUUUCUCUUUACCCUCUACACAUCGGCCUUCAGACACAACACCAGACAACUGCCACCUCCAGAAGUUCUCUGAUGAUACAGCCAUCGUUGGAUGUAUAUCACGGGGGAAUGUUUUGAAAUACAGGGACAUCAUCGCUAACUUUGUCGACUAAACCUCUUGCACAUCAACGCCAGCAAGACUAAGGAGAUGGUGAUAGACUUCCGCAGGAAAGCUCCACAGUCUACACCAGUGAGCAUCCAGGGCUUGGACAUUGAGAUUGUGGAGGAGUACAAAUACCUGGGUGUCCACCUCAACAAUAAACUGGACUGGUCCACCAACACAGAUGCCCUGUACAGGAUGGGCUAAAGUUGUCUCCAUCUGCUGAGAAGAUUGAGGUCCUUUGCCAUAUGUAGGACACUGUUGAAAACGUUUUAUGACUCUGUGGUUGCAUCUGCAAUCGUUUGCGCAGUGGUCUGCUGGGAAUUGGCUCUAUCCUGGACUGCCCUCUGGACAUCAUUGAGGAUGUAGCCGAGGGGCGGCUGUUAGUCAAGCUGACGUCUAACAUUGACAACCACUCCCAUCCCCUGUAUGACACAGUGGGGACCCUCAGCAGCUCCUUCAGCAACAGACCGCUGCAUCCACCCUAUAGCCUCUCUGGCUGGUCCAGGAGGGAAAGUGGAGGUGGAGCAGAACUUCCUCAACAACAAGCUAAAGACUGUGACUGCUUACUUUGGCCGCUUGAUAAAGUCAGAUGGCUAAUAACCCUGG